GAUGAACGCUGGCGGCGUGCCUAAUACAUGCAAGUCGAGCGAACGGACGAGAAGCUUGCUUCUCUGAUGUUAGCGGCGGACGGGAAAGUACCACGUGGAUGACAUCACUAUCAGGCUGGGAUAACUUCGGGCAAACGUAGCUAGUACCGGAUAAUAUUUUCAACCCCAUGGUUCAAACGCGAAAGACGGGCUUGCUGUCACUGAUAGAUGGAACCGCGCUGCAUUAGAUAGUUGGUAAGGUAACGGCUGACCAAGGCACCGAUGCAUAGCCGACCCGGGAGGGGGAUAGGCGACGCUGGAACUGAGACACGGUCCAGACUGCUACGGGAGGCCGCAGUAGGGAACCUUGCGCGAUGGGCGGAAGGCUGACGGAGCAACGCCGCGUGGGUGAAGAAGGUCUUGGGAUCUGAAAGCGGUGGUAUCAGGGGAGAAGAUAUGUGUAAGUAGCAGUGGACAGCUUGACGGUACCUAAGCAGAAAGCCACGGCUAACUCCGUG
rnacentral:rRNA from 1 species